rnacentral:rRNA from 1 species
UACGGGGGGAGCAAGCGUUGUUCGGAUUUACUGGGCGUAAAGGGCGCGUAGGCGGCCACCGCAAGUCGGUUGUGAAAUCUCCGGGCUUAACCCGGAAAGGUCAAUCGAUACUGCGGGGCUAGAGUGCAGAAGGGGCAACUGGAAUUCUCGGUGUAGCGGUGAAAUGCGUAGAUAUCAUGAGGAACACCUGAGGUGAAGACGGGUUGCUGGGCUGACACUGACGCUGAGGCGCGAAAGCCAGGGGAGCAAACGGG